rfam:Triticum aestivum genome assembly, contig: Triticum_aestivum_CS42_TGACv1_scaffold_162887_2DL
CUAGUACUCCCUCCGUCUGAAAAAAAUUGUCCCUUAAAUGGAUAUAUUUAGCAUCAACUUAGUGCUAAUACAUCCAUUUAAGAAAUAAGUUUGAGACAAACUUUUUCGGACGGAGGGAAUAUUUC